GAAACACCUGACAUGAUGACAACAUACGGACAGGCCUUGUCCAGGUUGAGCCUAAAGAAGUCCCAGGACGCCACCUCUGUGUGGUCCCACCCUUGACGAAAUGAGAAGCUGUGAUGUGAAGAGGGUGGAAGGUGAAGUUGGUUCAGAGAGGAGUGUGAUGAUGUGUUACGGCCCUGCGUGUUAGGAAGAGGCCGUGAUGGUGACUGGCAGGGCAGAGACACGGUUAAAGAAAGGGAUGGGAGACCCAGAGACAAGAGCGACAAAAGUAAUGCAUGUCACAUCGAUGAGGCCACGCCAAAAGAAGUUGUGAACGAGGUAUGAAAUGAUGGGAAAGAGACUCUGCCUCCACAUCUAGAGGAGCCAGUUGAGGUAGUUUUGGUAUCUGGUAAGAAUGCACCAUGGACGCCUCUCUAGGGAAGCUUUCCUUGCAUGUCCAACUGGGAGGAGAUCCAUAAGAAGACCCAGGACACCCUGAGACUGUCUCAUGUUUGGUCUGGGAUCGCCUUGGAAUCCUCCCAGAAGAGUGGGAGGUGGCUGGGGAACACUGGGCCUGGUCUGAACAAUAAAGGAUGGAUGGGUUGGACUGAUUUAUGAGAACAGGAGGAAAGUUUGGGUUUUGUCUGAUUUCUUAUCUUUAACCAGAAAUUUUGACAUUGAAUAUUUUUCCUUAUA